rnacentral:tRNA from 1 species
UGCGCCCAUAGCUCAGCAGGAUAGAGCAACGGAUUUCUAAUCCGUCGGUCGCUGGUUCAAAUCCGGCUGGGCGCGCCAU